rnacentral:rRNA from 1 species
UACGGAGGGAGCUAGCGUUGUUCGGAAUUACUGGGCGUAAAGCGCACGUAGGCGGCUUUGUAAGUUAGAGGUGAAAGCCUGGGGCUCAACCCCAGAAUUGCCUUUAAGACUGCAUCGCUUGAAUCCAGGAGAGGUGAGUGGAAUUCCGAGUGUAGAGGUGAAAUGCGCAGAUAUCGGGAAGAACACCCGUGGCGAAGGCGGCACUCUGGGACGGUACUGACGCUGAGACGCGAAAGCGUGAGGAGCGAACAGG